rnacentral:rRNA from 1 species
AACGAACGCUGGCGGCAUGCCUAACACAUGCAAGUCGAACGAUGCCUCCGGGCAUAGUGGCGCACGGGUGCGGAACGCGUGGGAAUCUGCCCUUGGGUUCGGAAUAACUCGCCGAAAGGCGAGCUAAUACCGGAUGAUGACGUAAGUCCAAAGAUUUAUCGCCCAAGGAUGAGCCCGCGUAGGAUUAGCUAGUUGGUGGGGUAAAGGCCCACCAAGGCGACGAUCCUUAGCUGGUCUGAGAGGAUGAUCAGCCACACUGGGACUGAGACACGGCCCAGACUCCUACGGGAGGCAGCAGUGGGGAAUAUUGGACAAUGGGCGAAAGCCUGAUCCAGCAAUGCCGCGUGAGUGAUGAAGGCCUUAGGGUUGUAAAGCUCUUUUACCCGGGAUGAUAAUGACAGUACCGGGAGAAUAAGCUCCGGCUAACUCCGUG